GGGAUGGGGCUCACGGACCCCGGGAUCCCGCCCUCAGCCCUGAGGGAGCCGGGAACUGAGGGAGGGAUGGUUUCACUCAACGCCAGGCGGCCGCGGCAUUUCAUUUUUAUAAAUCUCGGUGUGCUCCUUGUAGCUUUUCCCUGCUAAGUCCAGGACCUGCUGUGCCAUCCCACCUGUCCUGGGUAGGUUUUGAACACCAGGUUUUUUUUCAGAACCCUUUGCCAAAAAGGGGUUUAAGCAGCACCUUUGUCACAGGUGAACUUAGACAAGAGUGAAUCACAGGAAAAUAACAAAUGCAAGGUAAAGAACAAAUCACAGGCUUCUUGGCAAGCACCAUCCUGAGCCCUCAGAGGCAUCCUCGUUUGUAUCUCCACAUAAAGGUGUUGUUCCAGAGAUCCCUGUGGAGGAGUAUGGCCGUUCCAGGGCAGCGCUUGCUGAGGGAGCAUCGUGAUUGAACUUGUGCAUCCUUCCAUGAAGAGGCUGAUGGAGCCUGAGAUGUGGUAUGAGCUCCCUGCCUUGGGCCAUGUCAUCUCCCAGCUGGCCCAUUUAGUAUCUGCCACCCCUCUGGCCUGCGUGACUGGAAAGUGGGAUCCCUUCUGGUGCUGAGAUGGAUCAGGCUGAAUCACCUUGUCCUGUUCCUCUGGGCUUUCCCAUGCCUGCUUACAGGCAUGCCUGCUCUCAGGGACUGUUUCUCUAAUGGCAUUUCUUGCACCAAAAGCAAGGUGUCCCUCCCUGCUCCCACACUUCAAGCAACAGUUCUGGCCCCUGAAGAGUCUUUUUUCCUGUAUUGAGGGGAUCAGCUCCAUUUCCCAGAGUGUUUCUGCUGGGAGACUCUGUGAGACUCAGUGACUGAUUUUCAAGUGCUGUUAGAGACAGAGCAUGGUGCACUUCUGCUGUGACAACCAGGGAUGCACCCACAGGCACCCUUGGCUGCUGUGAACUCUUUGCUUGGACUUGCUUCUUUGGAAAGAGGACAAAUACAAGUGAAUGGAGAAUGAUCUUGAUAAGACUGUCUUCCAAGAAAGGACAUAGAAAAAGCUACACAAACUGUUCAAAAACUGUAUUUCAAUGCUCUCUGCACUUCCCCCAAGUGGUCUUCCUCUCAGAGAAACAGAACAAGUGGAACUGCGCAGCAAUGGACCCGUGCAAGAGCCAAGCAGCCUCAGGACUUCCCAGUAGCCGCUGGAUCCCCUGCUCCGCAGCACACCGGCAGGGAGAGGAUGGGAGGAAUUGGGCUGCCGUAUUCCAAUCUUAGAUUUAAUCUUAAUCCUUGUAUCUAAACCGCAUCCGCUUGCACGUACCUGUCC